AUCUUGAGGAAAUAAUCUCAAGUGAAGCCUGCCCAGUGAAUAGUUUAACGGCCGCGGUACUUUGACCGUGCUAAGGUAGCGUAAUAAUUUGUCUUUUAAUUGGAGUCAGGUAUGAAAGGCUUUAUGGGGGAAAACUGUCUUAGAAAAAAUUCGUAGAAAUUACUUUAGAGGUGAAAAAGCCUUUUUAUUUUUAGAGGACGAGAAGACCCUUUGAAUUUUUAUAGGAAUAAUUUAGUUGUAUUCUAUUUUAGUUGGGGCGGCUUAAAUAUAUUGGUUAAAACCUUUAACAAAUUUUUUAGUGUAACUUCACAAGAAGAGAGAUUAAGAAAGAAUAAAUUACCAUAGGGAUAACAGCAUUAUUCUUUUAGAGUUUGUGACCUCGAUGUUGGACUAGGAAAGAAAAUAAUUAGAAGUUAUUUUUAGUUGGUUCUGUUCGAACUUUAAUUCCUACAU
rnacentral:rRNA from 1 species